rfam:Angiostrongylus cantonensis strain Taiwan genome assembly, scaffold: ACAC_contig0000063
CAACUCUGGCUCCACUGCAAUUAAUCGAGAAAAUCUUUCGCCUUUUACUAAAGAUUUCCGUGCAUUGGAGCAACCGUGAGUAUUUGCCAAUUUUUGGGAUCCCCUCGAAAGAGCGGGAU